rnacentral:rRNA from 1 species
UACGUAGGGUGCGAGCGUUGUCCGGAAUUACUGGGCGUAAAGAGCUCGUAGGUGGUUUGUCGCGUCGUCUGUGAAAUUCCGGGGCUUAACUCCGGGCGUGCAGGCGAUACGGGCAUAACUUGAGUACUGUAGGGGAGACUGGAAUUCCUGGUGUAGCGGUGAAAUGCGCAGAUAUCAGGAGGAACACCGGUGGCGAAGGCGCAUCACUGGGCCAUUUCUGACGCUGAGGCACGAAAGCUAGGGUAGCGAACAGGAUUAGAUACCCGCGUA